rnacentral:rRNA from 1 species
UAGGAUUCCCUCAGUAGCUGCGAGCGAACAGGGAAGAGCCCAGCACCGAAUCCCGCGGCCGAAACCGGGCGCCGGGAAAUGUGGUGUUAGGGAGAAUCCAUUAUCCCGAGGUAUUGCGGUGCGUCCAAGUCCUUCUUGAACGGGGCCACAGCCCAUAGAGGGUGCCAGGCCCGUAGUGACCGCUGCAUAUCGCGGGAGGAUUCCUCCUCAGAGUCGGGUUGCUUGAGAGUGCAGCCCUAAGUGGGUGGUAAACUCCAUCUAAGGCUAAAUAUGACCACGAGACCGAUAGCGAACAAGUACCGUGAGGGAAAGUUGAAAAGCACUUUGAAGAGAGAGUUCAAGAGUACGUGAAACCGUUCAGGGGUAAACCUGAGAAACCCGAAAGGUCGAAAGGGGAAAUUCAUUCGCGUUUCGCCGUUGGCGUUGUUUGGUCGUGCGACGGUGGCCUCCGGGUUAUCCGCGACUUCCGUUCAACGACUGCCGUCGAACGCGUGCACUUUUCCCCUAGUAGGACGUCGCGAUCCGUUGGGUGUCGGUCUAAGGCCCGUGGUGGAGCCCUGCCGGUUUUUCGAAAUCGGUAGGACCCGCGGUGUUUCCCGGCCGGCUCGCUCGACGGUAUACAGAUGGCGCGAAGCCGCAACUCAGUUUGCGUCCGACCCGUGGCAAGAGCGUGCGUGGCGUUGGCGAUCGGACCUAGUGCCGGUUCUGACCCCGUGCGACUGUUGGCUGCGGCGUUCUCGGACAGACUUCGUUGAAACGCCGAUCUGCGACGCUAUAGCUUUGGGUACUUUCAGGACCCGUCUUGAAACACGGACCAAGGAGUCUAGCAUGUGCGCGAGUCAUUGGGACACGACUAAACCUAAAGGCGCAAUGAAAGUAAAGGUUUGCCUUGCGUAAACCGAGGGAGGAUGGGCGGUUUUCCUUAAAGUGACCGCCUCGCACUCCCGGGGCGUCUCAUUCUCAUUGCGAGAAGAGGCGCACCAAGAGCGUACACGCUGGGACCCGAAAGAUGGUGAACUAUGCCUGGUCAGGACGAAGUCAGGGGAAACCCUGAUGGAGGUCCGUAGCGAUUCUGACGUGCAAAUCGAUCGUCGGAACUGGGUAUAGGGGCGAAAGACUAAUCGAACCAUCUAGUAGCUGGUUCCCUCCGAAGUUUCCCUCAGGAUAGCUGGCGCUCGUAGCGUCGAGUCUCAUCCGGUAAAGCGAAUGAUUAGAGGCAUUGGGGUCGAAACGACCUCAACCUAUUCUCAAACUUUAAAUGGGUGAGAUCUCCGGCUUGCUUGAACUUAAUGAAGCCGCGAGAUACGGAUCAGAGUGCCAAGUGGGCCAUUUUUG